GGAACGAACACAAUGUCUAGCCAGGGCUGGAAUAAUUCAGGAAGGUGGCCUUGAAGGAUGGAGGGGAGAGAGAGCAGCCCAAGUGGAGAGGAGGACAGGAAAGAAGGCUCUAGAGAGACUGGUACAUAAUGGUGCAACUCACAAUCGAUGGCAUCGUCGAUUGGAUGAAACACAGCAGUACCUCUCACAGACUGAAUGGCUCCCCGGUGGCCACCUGUUUCCGAGGAGCUCAGCACUCAUAAUGACAAGGAAACCUAGAGGCUGAAAAUAGAGCUGAUUUCCCAGAAUCUCAGGUACCGAGAGGGGUGGGGACUUCUUGGACAUGAGUUCACAUUCGCUGAUGAAACGCAGCUGUCAUGUGCCCCACAGCUCCGUCCAGCUCCUGGUGACAGGGAAGGAAGCCAGUGUCGCUGGGAAAUACUGCAGAGGUUUUCACGCGAAGGGCUGAGCUUCCACACGCUGGAAAGGUGGGCCAGACUCAAAUGAACCUGCCGCUUGGACUGCCUUUUCUAAAGAAAGUGCUCCAUCAAUUCCUAACUGUGGGAACUGCAUUAGAUCAAUAGCCCAUAACUCUCAUUUUAAUGUUUGUCACCUGAGCCCUGGAGGUCAUGUGAAUGAGGUCUGUCAGCCCAGGCAGGUCCUCCCUGAGACCACUGGCUUCUGCAGCACACUUCAGAUGGGUGUGAAACUGGUCAUUUCAAAAGAAGCUUUGUAACUUGUCCAGAUG
rnacentral:lncRNA from 1 species